rnacentral:snoRNA from 1 species
UCGUCAGGUGGGAUGAUCCUCACCUGUUCCUCCUUUGGAGGACAAAUAAAACAGGAUGAUUGGAGAUGCGUGAAACGUGAUUGACGUCUCUGCGUAAUCAGGACUUGCAACACCCUGAUUGCUCCUAUCUGAU